rnacentral:rRNA from 1 species
UUCUGGUUGAUCCUGCCAGAGGUUACUGCUAUCGAGGUUCGACUAAGCCAUGCGAGUCGAAUGUAGCAAUACAUGGCGUACUGCUCAGUAACACGUGGACAACCUGCCCUUAGGUCGGGUAUAAACCCGGGAAACUGGGUAUAAUCCCCGAUAGGUCUCGGCUGCUGGAAUGCAUCGAGAUUAAAAGCUCCGGCGCCUAAGGAUGGGUCUGCGGCCUAUCAGGUAGUAGUGGGUGUAGCGUACCUACUAGCCUACGACGGGUACGGGUUGUGAGAGCAAGAGCCCGGAGAUGGAUUCUGAGACACGAAUCCAGGCCCUACGGGGUGCAGCAGGCGCGAAAACUUUACAAUGCUGGCAACAGCGAUAAGGGAACCUCGAGUGCCAGGUUACAAAUCUGGCUGUCGAGAUGCCUAAAAAGCAUUUCAUAGCAAGGGCCGGGCAAGACCGGUGCCAGCCGCCGCGGUAACACCGGCGGCUCGAGUGGUAACCGUUAUUAUUGGGUCUAAAGGGUCUGUAGCCGGCCGGAUAAGUCUCUUGAGAAAUCUGGCAGCUUAACUGUCAGGCUUUCAGGAGAUACUGUCUGGCUCGAGGCCGGGAGAGGUGAGAGGUACUUCAGGGGUAGGGGUGAAAUCUUGUAAUCCUUGAAGGACCACCAGUGGCGAAGGCGUCUCACCAGAACGGACCUGACGGCAAGGGACGAAAGCUAGGGGCACGAACCGGAUUAGAUACCCGGGUAGUCCUAGCCGUAAACGAUACUCGCUAGGUGUCGGCCACGGUGCGACCGUUGUCGGUGCCGUAGGGAAGCCGUGAAGCGAGCCACCUGGGAAGUACGGCCGCAAGGCUGAAACUUAAAGGAAUUGGCGGGA